UGGGGAAUUUUGGAAAUGGGCGCAAGCCCCAUCCAGCCAUGCCGCGUGAGUGAAGAAGGCCUUCGGGUUGUAAAGCUCUUUCGGCGGGAACGAAAUAGCGCGGGCGAAUAUCCCGCGUCGAUGACGGUACCCGAAGAAGAAGGACCGGCUAACUACGUGCCAGCAGCCGCGGUAAUACGUAGGGUCCAAGCGUUAAUCGGAAUUACUGGGCGUAAAGCGUGCGUAGGUGGUUUGUUAAGUCAGGUGUGAAAUCCUCGGGCUCAACCCGGGAACUGCGCUUGAUACUGGCAGACUCGAGUGUGGUAGAGGAUAGUGGAAUUCCCGGUGUAGCGGUGAAAUGCGUAGAUAUCGGGAGGAACAUCAGUGGCGAAGGCGGCUAUCUGGACCAACACUGACACUGAGGUACGAAAGCGUGGGUAGCAAACAGGAUUAGAUACCCUGGUAGUCCACGCCCUAAACGAUGGGUACUAGACGUCGGGAAGCUUGUCUUCUUGGUGUCGCAGCUAACGCAAUAAGUACCCCGCCUGGGGAGUACGGUCGCAAGAUUA
rnacentral:rRNA from 1 species